UCAUGAAAGGUAAGGAGCAAAGAGAAUGCCCGGGCUGUCUUUCUGUGAGGCAAGGUCUCAUUGAGCAGUCCCGACUAUCCUGGAAUCCAGUGUCUCGCUCAGGCUGGCCUUGAACUCACAGUCCACCUGUUUAUCUGCCAGUGCUGGUAUUAAAGGCGUGUGCUCUCAACUAGAGAAAGGGCUUUCUUAAGUCAUAGCCUAAUAGAUUUUGACAGCCUGGGCUGCUGUCCUCUGCGUCUGGGCCUUUGCUUCCAGAGGUCACUGCAUUGGCCCACCCAUUUCUUACAGGAAACCCACGGGUUCAGGAUGGGAAUCCUGUCAUCCUCCUUUUUCGAACUCGAAACAGCCCCGUGUUUGAGCUGCUUCCCUGUGGUGUUAUUCAGGGGGAGCCGGGAGCCCAAGCCCAGCUCGUCAGCUUCCAUCCUGCUUUCAACAAAGGGGCCUUGCUCAGUGUGUGCUGGUCCACAGGCCGAAUCACCCACAUCCCUCUGUACUUUGUCAACGCCCAAUUUCCACGCUUUAGCCCAGUGCUUGGUCGGGCCCAGGAGCCCCCAGCUGGAGGUGGAGGCUCUGUUCAUGAAGUACCACUAUUUACUGAGACAUCACCAACCUCUGCCCCUUGGGACCCUCUUCCAGGACUACCAUCUGCUCAACCCCACUCCCCUCACUCCCACUUGUAAAUAAAGUUUUUCUUGUUUCCACUC
rnacentral:lncRNA from 1 species